rnacentral:rRNA from 1 species
CCUACGGGAGGCAGCAGUGGGGAAUUUUGGACAAUGGGCGCAAGCCUGAUCCAGCCAUGCCGCGUGCGGGAAGAAGGCCUUCGGGUUGUAAACCGCUUUUGUCAGGGAAGAAAAGGUUCUGGUUAAUACCUGGGACUCAUGACGGUACCUGAAGAAUAAGCACCGGCUAACUACGUGCCAGCAGCCGCGGUAAUACGUAGGGUGCAAGCGUUAAUCGGAAUUACUGGGCGUAAAGCGUGCGCAGGCGGUUAUGCAAGACAGAUGUGAAAUCCCCGGGCUCAACCUGGGAACUGCAUUUGUGACUGCAUAGCUAGAGUACGGUAGAGGGGGAUGGAAUUCCGCGUGUAGCAGUGAAAUGCGUAGAUAUGCGGAGGAACACCGAUGGCGAAGGCAAUCCCCUGGACCUGUACUGACGCUCAUGCACGAAAGCGUGGGGAGCAAACAGGAUUAGAUACCCUGGUAGUCCACGCCCUAAACGAUGUCAACUGGUUGUUGGGAGGGUUUCUUCUCAGUAACGAAGCUAACGCGUGAAGUUGACCGCCUGGGGAGUCGGCCGCGAGGUUGAAACUCAAGGAUUGAGCUGNGNGNGCGAGACGACGAGAGGAGGAGG